rnacentral:rRNA from 1 species
AGUGAACGCUGGCGGUAGGCCUAACACAUGCAAGUCGAACGGCAGCACAGUAAGAGCUUGCUCUUACGAGUGGCGAGUGGCGGACGGGUGAGGAAUACAUCGGAAUCUACUUUUUCGUGGGGGAUAACGUAGGGAAACUUACGCUAAUACCGCAUACGACCUACGGGUGAAAGCAGGGGAUCUUCGGACCUUGCGCGAUUGAAUGAGACGAUGUCGGAUUAGCUAGUUGGCGGGGUAAAGGCCCACCAAGGCGACGAUCCGUAGCUGGUCUGAGAGGAUGAUCAGCCACACUGGAACUGAGACACGGUCCAGACUCCUACGGGAGGCAGCAGUGGGGAAUAUUGGACAAUGGGCGCAAGCCUGAUCCAGCCAUACCGCGUGGGUGAAGAAGGCCUUCGGGUUGUAAAGCCCUUUUGUUGGGAAAGAAAAGCAGCAGGUUAAUACCCCGCUGUUCUGACGGUACCCAAAGAAUAAGCACCGGCUAACUUCGUG